CGGGGCGUAGCGCAGCCUGGCAGCGCGUACGGUUCGGGACCGUAAGGUCGCCGGUUCAAAUCCGGCCGCCCCGA
rnacentral:tRNA from 1 species